GACGAACGCUGGCGGCGCGCCUAACACAUGCAAGUCGAACGAGCGAGAGAGAGCUGGCUGUCUCAAGCGAGUGGCGAACGGGUGAGUAACGCGUGAGGAACCUGACUCAAAGAGGGGGACAACAGAAGGAAACGACUGCUAAUACCGCAUAAGCCCACAGGUAGGCGUGGAAGAGGGGGAAAAGGAGCAAUCCGCGCUGAGAUGGCCUCGCGUCCGAUUACCUAGUUGGGGAGGUAACGGCCCAACAAAGCAACGAUCGGUAGCCGGACUGAGAGGUUGAACGGCCACAUUUGGACUGAGACACGGCCCAGACUCCUACGGGAGGCAGCAGUGGGUAAUAUUGCACAAUGGGGGAAACCCUGAUGCAGCGACGCCGCGUGGAGGAAGAUGGUCUGCGGAUUGUAAACUCCUGUUGUUGAGGAAUAUAAUGACGGUACUCAACAAGGAAGUGACGGCUAACUACGUG
rnacentral:rRNA from 1 species